rnacentral:rRNA from 1 species
GUGAGGAAUCUUCCACAAUGGGCGAAAGCCUGAUGGAGCAACGCCGCGUGAAGGAUGAAGGUCUUCGGAUUGUAAACUUCUUUUAUGAGUGAAGAAUAUGACGGUAACUCAUGAAUAAGCACCGGCUAACUACGUGCCAGCAGCCGCGGUCAUACGUAGGGUGCAAGCAUUAUCCGGAGUGACUGGGCGUAAAGAGUUGCGUAGGCGGUUAUGUAAGCGAAUAGUGAAACCUGGUGGCUCAACCACACAGACUAUUAUUCGAACUGCAUAACUCGAGAAUGGUAGAGGUAACUGGAAUUUCUUGUGUAGGAGUGAAAUCCGUAGAUAUAAGAAGGAACACCAAUGGCGUAGGCAGGUUACUGGGCCAUUUCUGACGCUAAGGCACGAAAGCGUGGGGAGCGAACCGGAUUAGAUACCUUGGUAGUCC